rnacentral:lncRNA from 10 species
GGCUGAGGCAGAGGUUGCAGUGAGCUGAGAUCGUGCCACUGCCCUCCGGCCUGGGUGACAGAGCAAGACUCCGUCUCAAAAAAAAAAAAAAAAAAAAGGGUUGUUGUGAGAACUCGGCAGGCUAUACAAGGCCUCCCCAGCCCUCACAGCACUCACUAUGUGUUCUCUGCUGUCCAUGUGUUCGUGCAAAGGUUGAUCUUCAACCUAAGAGGUCAGCACUGUUGUUGUCUCUGUGCCUGAGGAAACUGAGCCUGGGGAGAUGAAGGGGCUCUCCUGAGGUCACAGAAGUUGUCUGUCCACCCUGCCUCAUUCAUGUAUGUGCCUCACAGGUGAGAAACACUGCACAGAACGCUCAGCACAUGCUUGUUUCCUUCCCCUUCCUCACACCUCUCCAAGGCUUGGCCCAGUCUUUACAGCCCGGCUCCCAGCCUGCCAGCCUCUCAGAACCCCACCGUGGCUCCUCUUCCUACUCCUGGAGUUCUUCCUGUCUAUCCCUGUCCCUGUUUCCCUGACACUUGCCGGGUGCCAGGUGCUGUUCUCAGCU